AGAGCGUUGGACUAGUAACCGGAAGGUUAGCGAUGAGGUCAUCAUUAACACGGGAAACACACAGCGAUGAGGUCAUCAUUAACAUGGGGAACACACAGCGAUGAGGUCAUCUUUAACAUGGGGAACACACAGCGAUGAGGUCAUCAUUAACAUGGGUAACACACAGCAAUGUGGUCAUCUUUAACACGGGGAACACACAGCGAUGAGGUCAUCUUUAACACGGGGAACACACAGCGAUGAGGUCAUCUUUAACAUGGGGAAUACACAGCGAUGAGGUCAUCUUUAACACCGGGAACACACAGCGAUGAGGUCAUCAUUAACACGGGGAACACACAGCGAUGAGGUCAUCUGUAACAUGGGUUAGCGUUACUAACCAUAAAACAAUAACUCGACCGAAUGAUGCAAUGAUGUCAUGCGCCAUUAAAGAGGAAUGGCCAAGGAGGCCGACAUAUAUUGAAUUUAAUUCCUUGAAAGAAGAAUGCAAAAAGAGCCAGUACACAGUUCACUAUGUAGAGGAAACAAAAAUAUCAUCAGUGUUGGGUUACUAAUACCUGACAGAGAGGAACCAGGUUGGGUUUAAUCAGAGAUGUUUAAAAGGCAGCUGUUCUUGGGGAUGGGGAGGAGGAGCCAGGGCAAUAGAGUAGGCUGUUGCUAGUAAAUGUAUAAGUGAUGGAAGGAUCCUCUACCAUGCAGUCCAAAGGCCCAGCUCAAAGAGAGAGACACUAAGUUUACUGUAAACACAACCCUGACUCCAACCCUUCUCAAGCCUUCUAAAUCAUAUGGAGAUGGACCAACACCUCCAGGCUUUCUCCCUCAGCAGGAAAACACAGAGCCCAUCACAAUGUUAAAGGACACUGCCAAACAUUUCAUAUUCAUGGGGGACAAUGACUUCCAUAUGAAUGGUGUAAUUGGCGAGGCUUAAAGUCCCAUGGUAGGUAUGCCAGGUUAUUUCAAUGGAGCCCUCAGGCUAGGUGAUCACCAUUAGAUAGAUAUGGCUGGCAGUGGACCUACUCCAUCUUCAGGGGGUAGGAACGGAGGAACGGA
ensembl:lncRNA